UUUUAUGGAGAGUUUGAUCCUGGCUCAGGAUGAACGCUGGCGGCGUGCCUAAUACAUGCAAGUCGAGCGAACAGACGAGGAGCUUGCUCCUCUGACGUUAGCGGCGGACGGGUGAGUAACACGUGGAUAACCUACCUAUAAGACUGGGAUAACUUCGGGAAACCGGAGCUAAUACCGGAUAAUAUAUUGAACCGCAUGGUUCAAUAGUGAAAGAC
rnacentral:rRNA from 1 species